GUAUAUGUAUGAAUAAUGGCCAUUGCAUUUUACACCUCUAAUUUAGAGUUGCAUAAGGACCUCACAUACAUAACUCCCUUACCCUUGAAUUCACGAGCAACAAUUCAGAUAUCCGUGUACGAAUCAAUACCCAUCACAAUUCGCUGCGUGAACCUCAUCAUCAGACGUUGCUCGUUUUAUUUAAUUACAGAAGAUGAGAAUGAAGAGAUUUUGAUUCUUGAGUUGAUCACCUAACAUGGCACAAUGGGACCCCACGCCCACAUCUUCCACUGAAAUUGUGGCAAGUUACUAUUAUUCUCUAUUCAAAAUGGGUACACAUUUGUGGCCUUUAAAUUUCAAGUGACCCGGUUCAAUGGGACAACAAUAAUAGUAAUAGCAUCAAACAAAAAAGAAAAGAGAACAAAAUGUACCUUCACAUGUAAUUUUCCAGGAAUGGACCGCGAGGCAGGGAAUUAGGAUAGUUCAAAUGAAUGGUCCCCUAACUUGCUUCCGAACUUAGCAAGGUUCCAACUUUGUUUUUUUUGUCAACAUAGCUUCGAAUCUCGUUGUUAAAUCACACAGCUACCACUAGUACAUCUUUAAAAAAUCUAGCUAGCUUCUUCUAUGUGAAUAUGCUUUAUAGGGGAAUUUGUCAAAUAUCUCGCCCAAGUUUA